GCCCCCGUAGCUCAGUAGGAUAGAGCAACGGAUUCCUAAUCCGUGUGCCGUGCGUUCGAAUCGCACCGGGGGUACCA
rnacentral:tRNA from 1 species